UUUCUGCUAUGAUGAACUGCAUGUUCUGUCCGUGUUUCACCUGAUAAUAAACCAUGAUUAGAAACAUGCCCUGAGCAGAGC